UUAAAAGUUUUCUAGGGUUCCGCGGUAGAAUUCCGGCUGGUCCAAGAGAGAACACUUUAAAAUAUAAUUUUAAAGUACACGGAAGGAUAAAAGCCAGGGAGAA
rnacentral:sRNA from 2 species